GCCACACUGGGACUGAGACACGGCCCAGACUCCUACGGGAGGCAGCAGUGGGGAAUCUUGCGCAAUGGGCGAAAGCCUGACGCAGCAACGCCGCGUGGAGGACGAAGGCUUUCUGAGUUGUAAACUCCUUUCGGCAGGGACGAUAGUGACGGUACCUGCAGAAGAAGCACCGGCCAACUACGUGCCAGCAGCCGCGGUGAUACGUAGGGUGCAAGCGUUGUCCGGAUUUAUUGGGCGUAAAGAGCUCGUAGGCGGUUUGAUAAGUCGGGUGUGAAACCUCCAGGCUCAACCUGGAGCCGCCACUCGAUACUGUCAUGACUAGAAUUCGGUAGGGGACCACGGAAUUCCUGGUGUAGCGGUGAAAUGCGCAGAUAUCAGGAGGAACACCAGCAGCGAAGGCGGUGGUCUGGGCCGACAUUGACGCUGAGGAGCGAAAGCGUGGGGAGCGAACAGGAUUAGAUACCCUGGUAGUCCACGCCGUAAACGUUGGGCACUAGGUGUGGGGACUAUUCAACGGUUUCCGUGCCGCAGCUAACGCAUUAAGUGCCCCGCCUGGGGAGUACGGCCGCAAGGCUAAA
rnacentral:rRNA from 1 species